UGGGGAAUCUUGGACAAUGGGGGCAACCCUGAUCCAGCCAUGCCGCGUGAGUGAUGAAGGCCUUAGGGUCGUAAAGCUCUUUCGCCUGUGAAGAUAAUGACGGUAGCAGGUAAAGAAACCCCGGCUAACUCCGUGCCAGCAGCCGCGGUAAUACGGAGGGGGUUAGCGUUGUUCGGAAUUACUGGGCGUAAAGCGCACGUAGGCGGACCAGAAAGUUGGGGGUGAAAUCCCGGGGGCUCAACCCCGGAACUGCCUCCAAAACUAUUGGUCUAGAGUUCGAGAGAGGUGAGUGGAAUUCCAAGUGUAGAGGUGAAAUUCGUAGAUAUUUGGGAGGAACACCAGUGGCGAAGGCGGCUCACUGGCUCGAUACUGACGCUGAGGUGCGAAAGUGUGGGGAGCAAACAGGAUUAGAUACCCUGGUAGUCCACACCGUAAAACGAUGAAUGCCAGUCGUCGGGUAGCAUGCUAUUCGGUGACACACCUAACGGAUUAAGCA
rnacentral:rRNA from 1 species